GGCCCGGGGGCAGCAGUGGGCGCCACCUCACCGACUACUCGGAGCUGCCCGACGACGCAGCCGCGGCGAGCGCCGGCGCCGACAGGCCGUCCGGUACGCUGCACCGCGCGCGGUCCGGGUACGUGGAGACGACGGUCGGGCGUCGCGCGGACGACGAGCAGGCCAGGCCGGCGCCCGUGGUCGUCGCCGGGUCGGCUUAUCGACGCAAAUGAGGAGCGACGUGCA
rnacentral:lncRNA from 7 species